GUGUUUGUAGUUUAAAUAAAACAUUGAUUUGCAAAAUCAAAAAUAUUGGUGAUCGAACAUU
rnacentral:tRNA from 1 species